rnacentral:rRNA from 1 species
CCCUUAGAUGUUCUGGGCCGCACACGCGCUACACUGAAGGAGGCAGCGUGUACUCCUGGAUCGAAAGAUUUGGGUAACCCGCGAAUCUCCUUCGUGCUAGGGAUUGAGGUUUGCAAUUAUCCUUCAUGAACGAGGAAUUCCCAGUAAGUGCAAGUCAUAAGCUUGCGCUGACUACGUCCCUGCCCUUUGUACACACCGCCCGUCGCUCCUACCGAUUGAGCAAUCCGGUGAAUACUUUGGACUGGUGACAAGUCUGGUCCUGCCAGCCUCGUCACUGGAAAAUUGAGUGAACCUUAUUGCUUAGAGGAAGGAGAAGUCGUAACA